rfam:Metarhizium robertsii ARSEF 23 MAA_Scf_12, whole genome shotgun sequence.
GGCCGUGUAGCUCAAUGGCAGAGCGUCUGACUACGAUUAACAACAGUUAAUUCUCUGUAAUCAGAAGGUCGCAGGUUCGACCCCUGUCUCGGUCA